rnacentral:lncRNA from 1 species
AUUAUUCGCAUAGUGACAAUAUAUAUGAGUGUGGGAUCAAAGAGCAACUUAAGAAAGUGAGUGAGAGAGAGAUGACAAAUUUGAGACUUGUGUUCUUCUUGCCUCUAUUGGUUCUUUUGCUCUAACGACUGUGCUCUUGCGUCUUCACAAGAGUUACCCCAAUCAUCAUCAGGUUUAGUCUUGACUCUUGAGACAUGUAUCCCCAUUGAUUUUAGUUGUCUUUCUAAUCGAAUUCUAGCAAAAAAAAGUUUAUAAAAAGAUGCAUAUAUGUAUUAUCCUUUCGAAAAACCAAUAAAACUUUUAAGUGUAUGAUGCUAGUUUUAGGAAAUCAUUUCUCAAUUAUUAAAUUUAUGUGCCCAUUUCAUUACAUACAAGUUUCGUGAAGUUCAUUUUUUGUAUUUUUUUCUGGUUU